CAAUAUCAACAGAUGAAAUCUAAAAGACAGCCAAAGAGAAAGCUGCUCUUCCAGAUGGAUCUGCUUUAUAGAUACUUCCCAGACUCUUCAUCUUCAGUGGAAUGUUUUCACUGUAUUGAGAUCUUGUGGUACAGCAGUAACAACAAUGGCUUUACAAUGACUUGUGAUGAUAGGGCUUUGUCAGCCUUAUGGACUAUUUCAUUUGAAAAUGCUGGAGUUCAUUUUGAGCAUUAAGCAAAUAAUCCGUCAGGUUACCUUUGUGACCUCGUGGAUAAAGUGUUUGAGAAGCUUCACUGCAGCUCAAGGUUUGUUUCUUGCAAGAGCAACUCUAAGAUCUCCUGACUCCUACUUUUAGUCACAAGAAAAACUUCAUGUGUGAACCUCCCAGCUGAGAUUUUGGAGCAAGCAGCAGACACAAAUCUCUAGUUCACAUCCCUUUUUAACUGUUUGUGAGCUUUCUAAGUUAUGGGCAAAAGCAUCCA